rnacentral:lncRNA from 1 species
UAUAAGCACUAACACCAGGGGUGCAGGUUAUGAGCUCUCAACAUAAUUCACAUCAUCAAUGAUUCAUAUAAAUAACAUAAAACUCACCUGUGCGUCCACAACAUCAAUUCACAUAUAUAUAUAUAUAUAUAUAUAUAUGCAUCAAUUAUCAAUUCAUAUAAUUCAUAAUAUGCAUGCAUGGCAUCUUAAAAACAUACUUUCUUUUAAAUUCAAUUUCUGGGAAUUUCAGUAGUAUAUAGGUAAUAACAGAAAAUAACUGCCCACUCACUGGUAAGUCGAAGGGUCGUAACCCCCGUGACGUCCCUGGAUGCGCUCGUCAUCGGGAUAGGUAUCACCUAUAUGCGAAACAACUAUAAAAAUGUUAAUUAAAGCACAUAACCGACAAUUUGUAAUAACUUCUCAUACGGUGCUCAAUUUGGAUAUAUGAAUGUACCACAGUGACCUACUCGACGUCACGGACGUCGAGGUAUUUUUAGAAAAAAAAUUUCGAGGCUGCACGCGCCCCUACGGGCCGGGAGGGGCACGGACCUACGUGCUCACGCACAUCAUCUUCUUCCUCCAGUCGCCGGACUGGUUUUUCCGGUCACCAGAAAACUGGAGAUUUUUCAAUUGCCUUGUUCUCCGUCAUUUCUCAACCAUUUUUCACGCAUUUUAUAUCAAAAUGAAGCCCCAAGCAUGUAGAAUCACGAUGUACUAGUUUAAGGCUCUAAAAAUGACGAAAUCUCACCGGAGAAAUUCCAAGAAAACCGGCCAACUUCGAACUCAGUGAUCCCGACGUCCAAAACUUCAAACUAAGCACUUCGAGCUUCCUUAGGACCUCACUAAGCUCACUGUAAGCUUAGAAUUUCCUGAAAAUCAACAAUUCACGUGUGCAUGAACAGUGAUUUCAAAAUGGGGUUCGGAUUUCACGUGAUUUCGAAGGUUCUAAGUUCUAAAAAUUGCACCAUUCGAAUCAGGAGGUUGAAAGGAUGAAGAACCUCACCUUAUUGGCGUCGAUCCGUGAUGAUUCGAGGGUUUUGUUCUUUGUCCGUACAAUUCGAAGGGAGAGAGAGUGAACUGAGAAGAUGAGAGAGAGAGAGAGAGCACGGGGGAGAGAAAGGCAAGGUGUCCCGUGUGUGUGUGUGGUCCAUCCCAAAACAAGUCCAACCUCUUUCCCUAACCACACAAAUUGCAAAUAAUUUUUAAUCCAUUUCAAAUUUUCCAAACUUAGGAAAAUAUGCAUUAUUCCAUAAUAUGUCACACACAUACCUUAGCAUCCGUCAAGGACAAUUUCGUCAUUUCACAACCUCGAUAAAUAGAAUCUCGGGACGGGUUGUGACAAUUAUCCCUCAACCAAGUUAAAAGUGUUCAAAAUAGGUAUUAACUUAAAACCUAAUUUAUUCAUAU